rnacentral:lncRNA from 1 species
AUCCAGCUCUGCCAUGAAGGACAAAAUUCUUGGCAGGAUGUCACUGCUGCUGCUUUUUGGAAAGAACGAAAACUACUGACAGCAAAGGCACAAGAGUGCCAAGAAAUAAUACAGCUUCAGGGACAAGAAAAACUCUUCCGAAGACACCGAUUCAAAGAAAUGGAGAACUCUGGAUGCCUUUUCUGGAUUUUCACUGUGUCAAGAAACAAGAUCUUCUUGGAAAUUUUGCUGACUACAAACCCAAUAAAGUCUGCAAAUUAGAAGAUAGGAGUAACAAAAGCAGGUAAGAACGAAUUAUUUUGUCCUAAAAUAAUGGCUUGUUCACCUGUAAUAUUAUAUACAUUCUUUGGGGAUUUUUUUGUUUAAUAACGUAUGUAAAAGUUGCCCUUUAGAAUAUGACUGAGAUAUCAUAUUCAGGAAUUUUUUUAAUGAACUAGUUUUAAGAAUAUAUAAAAUAUACUUGCCCAAAGUCUUUGUCAUUUAAAAGUUCUACUAAUAAACAUAUCUUCAUUUAUCCCUUGAAGAACCUU